UACGUAGGGGGCAAGCGUUGUCCGGAUUUAUUGGGCGUAAAGAGCGUGUAGGCGGCUUUACAGGUCCGUUGUGAAAACUCGAGGCUCAACCUCGAGACGCCGGUGGAAACCGUAAGGCUAGAGUCCGGAAGAGGAGAGUGGAAUUCCUGGUGUAGCGGUGAAAUGCGCAGAUAUCGGGAAGAACACCCGUGGCGAAGGCGGUUCUCUGGGACGGUACUGACGCUGAGACGCGAAAGCGUGGGGAGCAAACAGG
rnacentral:rRNA from 1 species